rnacentral:lncRNA from 1 species
AAUUUUAAAAUUUUAUUUUCAUAUUUAUAUCACUUUUUUAAAAGAAAAUUUAUUUUGUCCACCCGCAACCGUCUGCAAACGAUAACUAGGACCAACUUUUGAAUUUCAGAGGUUCAGUUUGAAGCGGUUUAUGGCGUUUUCUGUGAUUGUUGCAAAACGCUAAUAACCGCUGCGUUUGAGGGUGGUAGCGGAAAAACCAGUCAU